UACGUAGGUGGCAAGCGUUGUCCGGAAUUAUUGGGCGUAAAGCGCGCGCAGGCGGUCCUUUAAGUCUGAUGUGAAAGCCCACGGCUCAACCGUGGAGGGUCAUUGGAAACUGGGGGACUUGAGUACAGAAGAGAAGAGUGGAAUUCCACGUGUAGCGGUGAAAUGGCGUAGAGAUGUGGAGGAACACCAGUGGCGAAGGCGACUCUUUGGUCUGUAACUGACGCUGAGGCGCGAAAGCGUGGGGAGCAAACAGG
rnacentral:rRNA from 1 species